ACGGGUGAGUAACGCGUAUCCAACCUUCCGCUUACUCGGGGAUAGCCUUUCGAAAGAAAGAUUAAUACCCGAUGGUAUCUUAAGCACGCAUGAGAUUAAGAUUAAAGAUUUAUCGGUAAGCGAUGGGGAUGCGUUCCAUUAGGCAGUUGGCGGGGUAACGGCCCACCAAACCUACGAUGGAUAGGGGUUCUGAGAGGAAGGUCCCCCACAUUGGAACUGAGACACGGUCCAAACUCCUACGGGAGGCAGCAGUGAGGAAUAUUGGUCAAUGGGCGAGAGCCUGAACCAGCCAAGUAGCGUGAAGGAUGACGGCCCUACGGGUUGUAAACUUCUUUUGUGCGGGAAUAAAGGAACCUACGUGUAGGUUUUUGCAUGUACCGUAACGAAUAAGCAUCGGCUAACUCCGUGCCAGCAGCCGCGGUAAUACGGAGGAUGCGAGCGUUAUCCGGAUUUAUUGGGUUUAAAGGGAGCGUAGACGGGUUUUUAAGUCAGCUGUGAAAGUUUGGGGCUCAACCUUAAAAUUGCAGUUGAAACUGGAGACCUUGAGUAC
rnacentral:rRNA from 1 species